CUCCCAUUGCAUCACAGAGGAUUUGGAAAUAACCUCAUUUUCCUCAAUUAGGAAGAUGGAGAUUGUAAUGGCUGUACUUUGCUCUCCUCCGACGUCUUUCAUCUCUGCAUCGCAAAGUGCUCUGAAAGCAUGAUUAACGAAGCUGCCCAACUCCGCAGCCGGGCAGGCGCCCCAUUGCCUGCUUCUGUCAAGGCUAAAUGGUUGAGGCCAGCUUGCUGGGCAGAAGACUAGCCGAUUUGAUGAUAGACGAAUCUUGGGCAGUGCGUUAACUGAGGUGAGUUGGUUAAGGUGUCACCCCUUUGAGAAUCAAUUUGCAUUAGGAAUCUCUGUUAUCAAAUCCCAGGCACUUGGGGUGGGUGGAGAAAAAUUUAAAAUAUACACAGUGGUGGUGGGGGAGGACCAGAGUAUCACUUUUUGCUUGGGUUCAUCUUCUCUCUAUACCUCCCUUUCCCAAAUUGUGAAGUAGGGAUACAGUAAAGAUGAAAUGAGCUAAUAUAGGAAUAGUGCUUAGAGUAUUCAAUAAAUGUUUAUUAUUGUUAUUAUCA
rnacentral:lncRNA from 1 species